AGAGUUUGAUUAUGGCUCAGAGUGAACGCUGGCGGCGUGCCUAACACAUGCAAGUCGUGCGCGAAAGGGUAGCAAUACCUGAGUAAAGCGGCGAACGGGUGAGUAACACGUGGUUAACCUAUCGGGAUGUGGGGGAUACCCCGGGGAAACUCGGGAUAAUACCGCAUACGUUCUCCUGGGUGCGAACUCGGGAGAAGAAAGCCGGGGACCGCAAGGCCUGGCGCAGCCUGAGGGGACCGCGGCCGAUUAGCUAGUUGGCGGGGUAAUGGCCCACCAAGGCAACGAUCGGUAGCCGGCCUGAGAGGGUGAUCGGCCACACCGGAACUGAGACACGGUCCGGACUCCUACGGGAGGCAGCAGUGGGGAAUUUUGCGCAAUGGGCGAAUGCCUGACGCAGCGACGCCGCGUGUGGGAUGACGGCCUUCGGGUUGUAAACCACUGUCGGAGGGGACGAAGGCCCGGCGGCGAAUAGUCGACCGGGAUUGACGGUACCCUCAAAGGAAGCACCGGCUAACUCCGUGCCAGCAGCCGCGGUAAUACGGAGGGUGCGAGCGUUGUUCGGAUUUAUUGGGCGUAAAGCGCGUGUAGGCGGUUUUUUAAGUCUGAUGUGAAAGCCCUGGGCUCAACCCGGGAAGUGCAUU
rnacentral:rRNA from 1 species